AUCCACGCAUUCUGUCGCUUCGGCCAGAAUCAGACUCUAAACGAGUCGGUCCAUUUUGUCGCUAUGGCCUCAAUGGACCAAAGAAUUAUUUUGUCGCUUUGGCCUCAAUAAUUCCUCUAUCUUGUCGCUUUGGCCUUGAUAGACUUGGAGAUCAUUUUGUCGCUUUGGCCUUAAUGAUCUCGACCCACUUUGUCGCUUUGGCCUUAGUGGGGUAACCGUCGUUGCGGACGUAAAGUCGCUCUUGAUCAGGGUGGACUAUAAACAUGGGUUCUGAUAGUGAACCAGAUCCUGUCGCUUUGGUCAGGAUCCACGCAUUCUGUCGCUUGGGCCAGAAUCAGACUCUGAUAGUGAGUCGCUCCAUUUUGUCGCUUUGGCCUUAAUGGAUGGGAGUUAUUUUGUCGCUUUGGCCUUAAUAAAUUCCAUUCAUCUUGUCGCUUCGGCCUUGAUGAUAACACAGAAAGAGUCGCUCCUGAUCAGAGUCGGACUAUAAACACGUAGUUCUAUUUGCCUGGAACUAGAUUCUGAUAGUGAA
rnacentral:lncRNA from 1 species